GACGAACGCUGGCGGCGUGCUUAACACAUGCAAGUCGAACGGAAAGGCCCUGCUUUUGUGGGGUGCUCGAGUGGCGAACGGGUGAGUAACACGUGAGUAACCUGCCCUUGACUUUGGGAUAACUUCAGGAAACUGGGGCUAAUACCGGAUAGGAGCUCCUGCUGCAUGGUGGGGGUUGGAAAGGUUCGGCGGUUGGGGAUGGACUCGCGGCUUAUCAGCUUGUUGGUGGGGUAGUGGCUUACCAAGGCUUUGACGGGUAGCCGGCCUGAGAGGGUGACCGGCCACAUUGGGACUGAGAUACGGCCCAGACUCCUACGGGAGGCAGCAGUGGGGAAUAUUGCACAAUGGGCGGAAGCCUGAUGCAGCAACGCCGCGUGCGGGAUGACGGCCUUCGGGUUGUAAACCGCUUUCGCCUGUGACGAAGCGUGAGUGACGGUAAUGGGUAAAGAAGCACCGGCUAACUCCGUG
rnacentral:rRNA from 1 species